AAGUCGUAACAAGGUUUCCGUAGGUGAACCUGCGGAAGGAUCAUUAAUACGCUUUUGUUUGUAACAAAACAAAACGUUUUAAACUCCAAAAGAAUUCGUGGAAAUAUAACUUCCGGAUGCGAAUGUUGGGAACAGAGUAAAAUCGGUUCUUUGAAAAAGGGACUUCAAGCAAUUGACACUUCAGAGUAGAGCAGUGAGGUGAAAUUCUCUUUCGCGAGAGAGUUUGGUUCUGAAAAACAUUUGUAUCCGGUUAUCAUAAUCUGUUCUACAAACUCCAAAAUAUCAAACAAUAAACCCCAUGUACAACAACUUGAACUAAACAUUUUUUUGUUGUCUCGCACUUGUGUGAGAAGAUACUACAAAGAAAAAACCUGAACUUAAGAACAACUCUUAACAACGGAUAUCUUGGUUCUC
rnacentral:misc_RNA from 1 species